GCCAGCCCGCUCAGAAACUUAAAGGAAUUGACGGGGGCCCGCACAAGCGGCGGAGCAUGUGGAUUAAUUCGAUGCAACGCGAAGAACCUUACCUGGGUUUGACAUACACCGGAAAACCGUAGAGAUACGGUCCCCCUUGUGGUCGGUGUACAGGUGGUGCAUGGCUGUCGUCAGCUCGUGUCGUGAGAUGUUGGGUUAAGUCCCGCAACGAGCGCAACCCUUGUCUUAUGUUGCCAGCACGUGAUGGUGGGGACUCGUAAGAGACUGCCGGGGUCAACUCGGAGGAAGGUGGGGACGACGUCAAGUCAUCAUGCCCCUUAUGUCCAGGGCUUCACACAUGCUACAAUGGCCAGUACAGAGGGCUGCGAGACCGUGAGGUGGAGCGAAUCCCUUAAAGCUGGUCUCAGCUCGGAUCGGGGUCUGCAACUCGACCCCGUGAAGUCGGAGUCGCUAGUAAUCGCAGAUUAGCAACGCUGCGGUGAAUACGUUCCCGGGCCUU
rnacentral:rRNA from 1 species